rnacentral:rRNA from 1 species
GAUGAACGCUGGCGGCGUGCCUAAUACAUGCAAGUCGAGCGAAUGGAUUAAGAGCUUGCUCUUAUGAAGUUAGCGGCGGACGGGUGAGUAACACGUGGGUAACCUGCCCAUAAGACUGGGAUAACUCCGGGAAACCGGGGCUAAUACCGGAUAACAUUUUGAACCGCAUGGUUCGAAAUUGAAAGGCGGCUUCGGCUGUCACUUAUGGAUGGAACCGCGUCGCAUUAGCUAGUUGGUGAGGUAACGGCUCACCAAGGCAACGAUGCCUAGCCCCCCUGAGAGGGUGAUCGGCCACACUGGGACUGAGACACGGCCCAGACUCCUACGGGAGGCAGCAGUAGGGAAUCUUCCGCAAUGGACGAAAGUCUGACGGAGCAACGCCGCGUGAGUGAUGAAGGCUUUCGGGUCGUAAAACUCUGUUGUUAGGGAAGAACAAGUGCUAGUUGAAUAAGCUGGCACCUUGACGGUACCUAACCAGAAAGCCACGGGUAACUACGUGCCAGCCGCCGCCGUAA